rnacentral:rRNA from 1 species
UCCCUAGAUGUUCUGGGCCGCACGCGCGCUACACUGAACAGUUCAACAAGUCUUAACCUUGGCCGAUAGGUCUGGGUAAUCUUUGAACGCUGUUCGUGAUUGGGAUAGACCUUUGCAAUUAUGGGUCUUCAACGAGGAGUUCCUAGUAAACGCAAGUCAUCAGCUUGCAUUGAUUACGUCCCUGCCCUUUGUACACACCGCCCGUCGCACCUACCGAUUGAAUGGUCCGGUGAAAUCUCGGGACGGCGGCUUGGUCGCUUGCGUCCGACUGCUGAAACUUGAUUAAACCAUAUCAUUUAGAGGAAGGUGAAGUCGUAACA